UGAGUUUUCUUCAGCCUGACCUUUUGAAUGGCAGGCAGUGGCAGGAUUAGACUCCUUGAUGGAAACCAGGGUGGUGUUGCCGUGGGAGCAUGGGGUCUGACUGUGUGUCCUUCUCCUUAUGACAGUGUCAUGAACCUGGAUGACCUGACCCGGCGAGGGGCUGUAUCUGAGUGACAUCCCUCUGCACGAUGCCACUCGGGACCUCGUGCUCCUAGGAGAGCAGUUCAGAGAGGAGUACAAGCUGACCCAGGAACUGGAAAUCCUUACGGACAGGCUGCAGCUCACGUUACGAGCCCUGGAAGAUGAAAAAGAAAAAGACGGACACGUUGCUGUAUUCCGUGCUCCCUCCAUCUGUGGCCAACGAGCUGAGGCACAAGCGUCCGGUGCCCGCGAAGAGAUAUGACAACGUGACUAUCCUCUUCAGCGGCAUUGUGGGCUUCAAUGCCUUCUGCAGCAAGCACGCGUCUGGGGAAGGGGCCAUGAAGAUUGUCAACCUCCUCAACGACCUCUACACUAGAUUUGACACUCUGACGGACUCCCGGAAAAAUCCAUUUGUUUAUAAGGUGGAGACUGUUGGGGACAAGUACAUGACGGUGAGCGGGCUGCCCGAGCCGUGCAUCCACCACGCACGGUCCAUCUGCCACCUGGCCUUGGAUAUGAUGGAGAUUGCUGGCCAGGUCCAAGUAGACGGUGAAUCUGUUCAGAUAACGAUCGGGAUCCACACGGGGGAGGUAGUUACCGGAGUCAUAGGACAACGGAUGCCUCGCUACUGUCUCUUUGGAAACACUGUCAACCUCACAAGCCGGACAGAAACCACUGGAGAAAAAGGGAAAAUAAAUGUGUCUGAAUAUACAUACAGAUGUCUCAUGACACCAGAAAAUUCAGACCCGCAAUUCCAUUUGGAGCACAGAGGCCCCGUGUCCAUGAAGGGCAAAAAGGAGCCAAUGCAAGUUUGGUUUCUAUCCAGAAAAAAUACAGGAACAGAGGAAGCAGAGCAGGAUGAAAACUGAAUCUUGGACUGUGGGGUUAAGAUCGCAGGAUGAGGUCCAGUCUCCCCCUAACAGAUGCCGUGCCUGGGACCAGUGAUUCCCUCCGUCCUUUUCCUGUUUCCCCAAGCCGUUCUCCUGUGUAUCUCUUUCCUUAUUCAUUAUUCAACUUUAGCUCUGCUUUUGAUUAUUUUUGAGGUUUAGUAUGUUAUCUGAAGUUUGGCUUUGUGUGGCUGAUGUGAGCUUCACAUGUCUUCAGAUCGACUAUGCAUCGCCUGGCAUGGUGGUUUUCAGGUAGUGGGCACCCAAUAAAUAUUUGGUGAAUUUAAUUAAAUGAAACUGAACGGUAUUCAGCCAUGUGUGUAUGUAUGUAUAUAUAUAUAUAUACAUAUAUAUAUAUAUAUAUAUCAUGGUUUUCCAUAUUUGUUCAGUGUCUCUAUAUGUGUAUAUUUUAAUGACUAUAACAUAUAAAAAGGUUUUAUUGUGUUGGUGCAUAUCAUUAUAGAAAUCGUUUUCUAAAGGAGUGAAUUCAGAAUUUUAGGGGAAAAAUGCAAUAUAGUUUCAGACUCCCCAGAUAAGAAUAUAUCAUGCUAAGAAAACAGUGUCUAUUUAGAAUUAUGUUAAUUUCCCUUCAGAAAUAGAGAAUAUACUUCUUUGCUAUUAAACUAUCAGGUUUUCAUUCAGAUCAUGUGGCAAUUACAGUUCCUCUAAAAUGCUAUCCUUUGCAUUGUAUCCUUUGUGUUAUAAAUCUCAUUAACCCCAUGCAGCUGUUGGUGAAGGCAGCACUGUUUGACAAUGAGCUAUUGCAUUAGUUUGGAGGAAACGUUAUGGACUCUAACUGCAUCCAAGGAUGAAGCUGGAAUCACAGCUGGGGUGUUUCGGUUGGUCAGAGCCCAUCUUGGCCCUUUCUUCCCAGAAAUGAGCUCCUUUGUCUUAGCUCACAAGAACUUGAUUCUAUCCAGGGUGCCAUCUUGAGAAAAGUUACUUUAAUUUCAACAUAGAAUGCAUUCCUGUUAGAAUCAUCACCUGUUGUUCUUCAUUAUCUCUGAUAAUUUAUUAAUAUCUAUCUUUAUAAAAUACAGGACCACUACUUUUGUGUAAAAAUGUUUGUCUUUAAAUUUAGCAUUUCCUAUCAGCACGUUGAUAACUUGUAUAAAUGUUCCAUGUUCAUGUGUAAGAGAACCUGUAAUAAAUUAUUUUUUCCACUUGUCUCUAGAUGGUUUUUGAUUCAAUAAAAAUGAUGUGAAUGCUCUUA